AACGAACGCUGGCGUCCGGCUUAACACAUUCAAGUCGAACGCUCCGCAAGGGGAGUGGCAGACGGGGGAGUAACACGUGGGAACGUGCCCGAAGGUACGGAACAACCCCGGGAAACUGGAGCUAAUACCGUAUGUGCCCGAACGGGUAACGGUUUAUCGCCUUGAGAUCGGCCCGCGUCUGAUUAGCUAGUUGGUAGGGUAAUGGCCUACCAAGGCUACGAUCAGUAGCUGGUCUGAGAGGAUGACCAGCCACACUGGGACUGAGACACGCCGCAGACUCCUACGGGAGGCAGCAGUGGGGAAUAUUGGACAAUGGGCGAAAGCCUGAUCCAGCCAUGCCGCGUGAGUGAUGAAGGCCUUAGGGUUGUAAAGCUCUUUCGGCGGGGACGAUAAUGACGGUACCCGCAGAAGAAGCCCCGGCUAACUUCGUGCCAGCCGCCGCGGUAACAC
rnacentral:rRNA from 1 species